ACGAUGCAUCAUUCGAAACCCUAGAACUCUUUUUCUCCUAGAAAUCGAGUACCAUCUGGUUCUAUUUCUCUCUCUGAUCACAGGGAUGCGAAGAAAUGUUUACGUCUCUGAUCACACUUCCUGCAAUUCUCCUUACCUUUCUUGUGUCUUUGCCUCUGAAACUCAAGAAGACAUCAGGAGAUUCAUACAUGUAUGUGCUUACACAUCUCUCCACCUGCAGAAUGGGUCGACUAUGAUGUGUUCUUUGAGUUUCCGAGGCAAAAACACAACAAAAGCUACUUGAGAUGACCGAAUCAUCAAUUCCCAGAGGCUACACGAGAUUAAGGGUCUCAAUACUUUGAAUUCGAUAUUGGGGUUGUCAUCUUGCACAUCCUUGGAAAAUAUCGUUUCAUACUUUAUGCGUGGAUGUUAUGGCUCGAUUUCGCCGCUGAAGCUUCGAUUUCACAUAUGCAUUUCAUGCAUUAAAUCAGUCUAUGAACAUAGACGGACAAUCUUUGCUCGGGGUAAAUCUAAUACCUUUGCAAUAGAACGGUGUAUAAAUUGUGAAUUGAUUAUUUUUUGAUUUAAUUUGGUUUCUUAGUUAGGGUUUGAGAUCUUGUUACAGGACAAGCUUCAAAGCUUGAAUGGAAUUGAAAUAUUUCUGUAAGAUUUGUUUUCUUUCUUAAAAUUGUUUGGAUCCAGAAGUAGUAGUCGGUAAGAAAUGGAUGUUUAUUUAUUUAUUUUUUGUUUAGGUGUCAAUGGCAAUUUACUAUUGAAACCAAGUACCAUGAAGUAGUUAAAAGUUGAAGUUCCUAAACUUGCAUGCUUGUUUUCAUCGAUUUUGUGUAGUUCUGAAUCAAAUCAAUAUAAAUGGUCACUAGUAUGCUUACUACCUAAUUUCUUUUUCUCUGUCUCUAAGAGUAACAAUUUCAUAAGGAAUAUUAUCACACUGAUUUCAUGUGGUGGACUUUGUAUAUGGCUACUUGUGUAUUUUUUAUAUCUUCUCAAAAUAUUUCUGUAAGAUUCCUAAUACUAGAAUGAAUUUUGAAGCUUCUUUUUUAAAACAUUUUGGAAAUAGCAAUUUCAAAAUAUUUCUUUUUUUAUCCAAUUUUCUUUUUUCCCUAGGGGUUCAAAAAAUAUCUGUAAGUUUUGUCUGAUUUUUGGUGCAGAAAAUGGGCAAAGAUUGAUGAGACAGUUCCUGCUGCUCAUGUUAAAGCCGAAAUUUUUUCCUAGAGGUAUGCAUGAUUUGAUGGAAAAUGCAAGUCCUGCUAGGAAAAUCAAGGGAGAUUAAAAUAGAGGAUGGUUCGAAAUUUCUGGCAAGUGGUUCUCCCUUUACAAGCCACAAACCGACUGCUUGUGUCAUGACAUGGCUCAUUCUUAACAUGAUUUGGACUUUGGAGGAAGCUCAUAAGAAAUCCCAACACCCACUCAAGCAUUUUGGGAGGAUUUGGUCUCCAAUAUCAAUUCAGUUACAUCAGCCGGUGAUAGCCGAAGAUUUGGAACCAGCAUUUGUUGUUCAGGAGAUAUAGUAGAUUGACUAGAGGGUGCAAGGAGGGAACUAAUAUUUAUCAUGGUUUUAAUGCACUUCUCAUUUGGUUCAUUGUCAAAUUAUAAGCAAGCAGACUCUCCAUGACUGUCUCUGUAUAGAUCUCCUUUAGGUGAGUCCAUUGCUGUUGUCUCCUAUCUUUGUCGUGUAAAUCAUAAACGAUAAACCUGUAGGUUCAUUGGUUCAUUGUCAAAUUGUGUUCAGGAGUUUGCAGUCCAUUUCAUAGCUACAGAGUUUAUGGUGCUUUCAGAAAUCUGUAGGUUCAUAAAUAGAGCAGCUUUUUUAAAAUUUAUUUAAGGUUUGAAAUUCAUAAUUCAAAUAAGUCAAUUCAUAAGUCAAAGGGCA